UGGGGAAUCUUAGACAAUGGGGGCAACCCUGAUCUAGCCAUGCCGCGUGAGUGAUGAAGGCCCUAGGGUUGUAAAGCUCUUUCAGCUGGGAAGAUAAUGACUGUACCAGCAGAAGAAGCCCCGGCUAACUACGUGCCAGCAGCCGCGGUAAUACGUAGGGGGCAAGCGUUAUCCGGAUUUACUGGGUGUAAAGGGAGCGUAGACGGAGCAGCAAGUCUGAUGUGAAAGGCAGGGGCUCAACCCCUGGACUGCAUUGGAAACUGUUGAUCUUGAGUACCGGAGGGGUAAGCGGAAUUCCUAGUGUAGCGGUGAAAUGCGUAGAUAUUAGGAGGAACACCAGUGGCGAAGGCGGCUUACUGGACGGUAACUGACGUUGAGGCUCGAAAGCGUGGGGAGCAAACAGGAUUAGAUACC
rnacentral:rRNA from 1 species